UUUAUGGAAUAAUACAUAUGUUUAUGGCUUCAUUAGCGAAAAGCCGCUCAGUGCCUGAACAUCAACCAAUUCUCCUCGUCCUCCUCCUUAGCAGUUCAUUCGACACGCUGUCUGCAGCAGCGUCAAAAGGAUCGACAUCGACGUAGUCGUCAAGCGUCAUCGUCUUCAUCAUCAUCAUCACCAUCAUCAUCAUCAUCAUCAGCAUUGUGCUCGUUGUUGUCUAUGUAUCUGUCACUACAGAGUCUCGUGCAUCAUUCUGGAGGCCCCAAAGCACUCGAGACAUUGUAUGCGCACUUCAAAGAGAUUCAGUUCGGUUCGACUCGGCUCCAAAAACAUAUCGGGUCAGUCAUCUUUUAGAAGAAGGAGUGCAUGAUUAAUGACCAACAAGGGCCGCAGACCAAAGGAGGAGGAUGCCAGAGCUGGGCUUAGACCCGGCCACAGUCCAGCUCCCACUACAGCACAUCUAGCCGGCAAUUGGCACAGUCUGGAUGGGAAGAAGAAGCUGCUCGAGAAUCGAGAAUAGAGAACAGAAGGAGGCAGCCGAUACUCGAGUCGAUCCAGCACUGAGCUACCUGAGUGGCCCGAGACUGGCUACAGCGAAAGAUUAGCUCCGAUCUAAGAGGUUCACUUCGGUAUUGUCUGAGGACAGUAGAUACCUUGAAGAAAGUGCGAAACAUUAUUCAAACAGUUUUCUGGCUUGAAUGAUUCAGUACACAACAUCCAAAAUCGAAGAUAUUUAUUAUUCUACUCGCAGAUUUAAAUCAACCUAAAACUCGGGUAUAAAUUUGUGGGAAACCAGACCAGGCCAGGCCAGGCCAGAGACUCAAUUACCAGAUUGUAGAGUACAAAAAACGAGUAAAUCGCUGCAAUAUAUGCGAGCAGGAGCCCAGAGCCGGGAGAGCUCAGCCGCGGCCAGCAAAUUGAAAUUUAUUGCCUCUGAGCCACUGGAAACGCUGUCUGCCCUGCCACCACACAGCCUGCCACAGGCCACCAGCCUGCCACCACUAACCGAACAUGCUUUGAGGCCAACACACCAAACGCCAGACCAUGGAAGGCCAGGGCAGGGCAAUACACAAAAAUGUUGCGGCGGCUUUUUUUUUUUGGCCAACUGGUAUCGUAUGUGGGUCGCAUUUAUUAGAUGCAGGCUCCCUCAAGUUGGCCAGGCUUAUUGUUAGAUACAAAAAGUGACGUUACCCCAUUAACAAAGUUACAGCCGGCGGAGGAUGAUCGAGCAGCAGGCAUUAGGCAACGGGGAAUUGGGAAUCGCGGAUAGGGAAUCGGGCAAGGAAAAUCGGGGAAUCAAGAAUCGAGGAUCGCGCGUCAACAAUCGAGCAUAGACUUGAUUGCCAGUCAGUCUCGAGCUCGGACCCAGUCACUGGCCGUCAAGAUGAUCAAAUACUCAAAAGACGAGUCCAAUUGCCGGAUUUAGAGUCAGAUCCGAAGGCAGAGCCAACGCCCGCACGACUUACACUUGGACUUGGACUUGGUCUGUGACUGGAUUUGGACUUGGCUUUGGUCUUUGUCUAGGAGCUUUUUUGACUUGCCACCGCCACCGCCACCGAAGAUUUAUGGCUUAGAUAAGCGCGAAAAGUUACAGAUGCUUAUGCAGCGGCAGCCACUGCAACGCGUCUCGGGUUCGCGUUCCCCAUUCUGGCCAUGGACGUGGCUGGAUCCAGAAGUUAGUGGAUCCAAUUAAUACAUUCCUUAAUUAUUCAGGAAAUUUUCUGAUGUCCCAACCAAG